UACGAAGGGGGCUAGCGUUGCUCGGAAUUACUGGGCGUAAAGGGCGCGUAGGCGGACAACUUAGUCAGAGGUGAAAGCCCAGGGCUCAACCUUGGAAUUGCCUUUGAUACUGGUUGUCUUGAGUUCGGGAGAGGUGAGUGGAAUGCCGAGUGUAGAGGUGAAAUUCGUAGAUAUUCGGCGGAACACCAGUGGCGAAGGCGACUCACUGGCCCGAUACUGACGCUGAGGUGCGAAAGCGUGGGGAGCAAACAGG
rnacentral:rRNA from 1 species